rnacentral:lncRNA from 1 species
GUGCCUCUGACCUGGAGAGCUUUCCUACAGCUCCUCUACUGCUUCCUAGAGUUCUAGUGUCGUCUCUUUUGUAUGCUAAUUCCUCUUUAAUAUGACAGUUUUUUGCUGUGUCCAAGUAUGGAGAGGGAUCUGUUCCUGGUUCCUAAGUACCCUUUCCUCAUUGCCCAUCACAGUGUUGAGGAGUUGGGGUUCCCUUUGUCACCAUGUCUCUGUCUCUUGCUCUUCUCUCUCCAGUUAUUGGAUAGCUGUUCAGUAAGCCCUCAGGUUUUCUUCAGAAGGAAUUGUUAAAUUAAUAGAUGUAAUUUGGUGCAUUUCAAGGAGAUGAGUUAAGUCUUAAACCAGAACUCCUCUUGAUACUGUUUUAAAUGUGGUUGUUUUCUGCUUCCUUUUUGAGAGAUUAUUUAUGUGCAAAAAUACAACUUAUUCUUGUAUUCUUUUUUUAAUAUUUAUUUAUUUAUUUAUUUAUUUAUUUAUUUAUUUAUUUAUGACAGAGAGACAGAGGCAGAGACACAGCAGAGGGAGAAGCAGGCUCCAUGCCGGGAGCCUGACACAGGACUCGAUCCCGGGACCCCAGGAUGGCGCUCUGGGCCAAAGGCAGGCGCCAAACGCUGAGCCACCCAGGGAUCCCCUAUUUUUGUAUUCUAUUCUGCAACUUUAUGGAAUUUGUAUCAACAGUUUCGGGAAGUCUUUAAGGUUUUCUACAUGA